GAUGAACGCUAGCUACAGGCUUAACACAUGCAAGUCGCGGGGCAGCAUGGGGGUUGCUUGCAAUCCCCGAUGGCGACCGGCGCACGGGUGAGUAACGCGUAUCCAACCUGCCCUUCACCACGGGAUAACCCGGCGAAAGUCGGACUAAUACCGUAUGUUGUCCAUUGACGGCAUCCGAUUUGGACGAAAGGUUUGGCGGUGAAGGAGGGGGAUGCGUCCGAUUAGCUGGACGGCGGGGUGACGGCCCACCGUGGCGACGAUCGGUAGGGGUUCUGAGAGGAAGGUCCCCCACACUGGAACUGAGACCCGGUCCAGACUCCUACGGGAGGCAGCAGUGAGGAAUAUUGGUCAAUGGGCGUAAGCCUGAACCAGCCAAGUAGCGUGCAGGAUGACGGCCCUAUGGGUUGUAAACUGCUUUUAUGCGGGGAUAAAGUGGCCCACGUGUGGGUUUUUGCAGGUACCGCAUGAAUAAGGACCGGCUAAUUCCGUG
rnacentral:rRNA from 1 species